rnacentral:misc_RNA from 1 species
CUCCUGACUAACUCUCCUAAGUUGGUUUGUUAACAAACCAGCAGGUUCAUCAUCUCAAUUCCCAUCAUCAGCCGAUUUUAAGUAAAGAGUUUCACCUCCGUCACUGCCGCCGCCUCCAGAGUUGCCUCCUCGCCCUUCAGUGGGCACUGCACUCCCAAUAUCUUGCUUACUUCCACAUGCCAUUCCUCUGCCUCCAGCAUCNAAAAUCAGGAAACCCUCCUGCCCCAAGCCCUCCGCUGCCUCCUGCAGUGCCGGCCUCACU